UACGGAGGGGGCUAGCGUUGUUCGGAAUUACUGGGCGUAAAGCGCACGUAGGCGGCUUUGUAAGUUAGAGGUGAAAGCCCAGGGCUUAACCCUGGAAUUGCCUUUAAGACUGCAUCGCUAGAAUCGUGGAGAGGUGAGUGGAAUUCCGAGUGUAGAGGUGAAAUUCGUAGAUAUCGGAAGAAACACCAGUGGCGAAGGCGACUCACUGGACACGAUUGACGCUGAGGUGGCGAAAAGCGUGGGGAGCA
rnacentral:rRNA from 1 species